CCUACGGGUGGCAGCAGUGAGGAAUAUUGGUCAAUGGCGGCAACUCUGAACCAGCCAAGCCGCGUGAAGGAUGAAGGUCCCAAGCAUUGUAAACUUCUUUUAUGAAGGGACAAAAUCAGUCACGAGAGCCUUAUUGCAGGUACCUCAAGAAUAAGGACCGGCUAAAUCCGUGCCAGCAGCCGCGGUAAUACGGAGGAUGCGGGCGUUAUCCGGAUUUAUUGGGUUUAAAGGGUGCGAAGGCGGGCCUUUAAGUCCGUUGUAAAAUGCCGCGGCUCAACCCUGGCAGUGCGGCUGAAACUGGGUGUCUUGAGAGGGCGAGAGGUAGGCGGAAUGCGUGGUGUAGCGGUGAAAUGCUUAGAUAUUGCGCAGAACUCCGAUUGCGAAGGCAGCCUACCGGAGG
rnacentral:rRNA from 1 species